rnacentral:lncRNA from 1 species
AUGAUCCAGAAAGAGGCUGCUUUAUCAGCCUAGAUUCUGAAAAAAAGAGAACAAGAGCGGGAUAUAGUUAACCCAGAAUGGACAUGCAGCUUGAGCAUGAAUAAGCUUCUGUGGUUGUGCCUUCUGUUUUCAUCUCUGCUCUGCCUUAAGACAGGAAACAGCCUCUCUUCCCCAGGCUCCAAUGAGAGAACUUACAGCAGAAAUGUUCCCUACAGAAGGAAGAUGCCCAAGAGAGAAGACCUGAAACGGGGCCAAGACAAGAACACUCACCUCCCCUGGGAUCCAAAAUGGGUGUGACUGAAGGAGGAUGAGUAUUGUGGAGGAAGAAUGCACGAGACAGAAAAUCCAUAAACCCAACCACAGGAUUUUGUGAACUAUCCAUGAGUCCAUGAUGUUAUCACUCAUGGAACUCAAGAGCCCACGCCAAGAUCCUGUGUGGCCACGCCCUGCUAUCACCAGCUGCUAGAGGGUCACCCCUCCCCCAGGCUCUUUUCCUCACUGGACACUCCUCACGAUUCCGGAGAACAACCCCUGUACCAGAGCACACACUUAGUUGCCAUUAUCCCAAACGACGUAAGCAAAGGUCAAC